rnacentral:snoRNA from 1 species
AUGAAGUGGCUUCACCUCGCUGAUCAAUGAUGUGUCCUUUAAGUACGGA